rnacentral:rRNA from 1 species
UACGAGGGGGGCGAGCGUUGUUCGGAAUUAUUGGGCGUAAAGGGUGCGUAGGCGGUUUGGUAAGUCUUAUGUGAAAUCUACAGGCUCAACUUGUAGUCUGCAUGAGAAACUGCCGGGCUUGAGUAUGGGAGAGGUGAGUGGAAUUCCUGGUGUAGCGGUGAAAUGCGUAGAUAUCAGGAGGAACACCUGUGGCGAAAGCGGCUCACUGGACCAUAACUGACGCUGAUGCACGAAAGCUGGGGGGAGCAAACAGG